rnacentral:tRNA from 1 species
GGGCGUUUAGCUCAGUUGGUAGAGCACCAGCUCGACAAGCUGGGGGUCACUGGUUCAAGUCCAGUAACGCCCACCA